rnacentral:rRNA from 3 species
CCUACGGGAGGCAGCAGUGGGGAAUAUUGCACAAUGGGGGAAACCCUGAUGCAGCCAUGCCGCGUGUGUGAAGAAGGCCUUCGGGUUGUAAAGCACUUUCAGUAGGGAGGAAAGGGUGAGUCUUAAUACGGCUCAUCUGUGACGUUACCUACAGAAGAAGGACCGGCUAACUCCGUGCCAGCAGCCGCGGUAAU